CCAUUUAACCUAUCAAAGGCUAAAAGUUUAUUCCUCCGUUUAGUCGCCGUCGUUUCUCUCUGCCUUCACCUCUUUGUCUUUUCCACUAAUUCCGCCACUAACUUCAGCCAUUAUUGACGUCUUCAAAAAGUGACAAGAUUGUCGAUCUCUCUUCGACUCCCCCUCUGAUUGUCGAUCAUUCUAUAUAAUUAUACACUGUGAUCUGGUUCGAGGAACAAAAUAAAGGCAUCUUCUGGGUGAAAAGCAAGCUUGGAUCCCUAAAUUAAUAGUGAUUUGAAAAACAAAAACUCGGAAUACAGCUUCAUGGUUGAGCUGCCCACUAAGCGGAUAGACCACAAUAGUCGCCAUCUCCGAUUUAACAAUGAAAAAGAACAACGGCUCCUUCAGGUUUGCGCCUUUUGAAACUGAUUAUUUCUUAAUAUGAAUAUUGGUGUAGUUUAUGUGUGUUACCCUAGUGCUUUGUUGCUAAAAAAUUUCCCGUAAGUACUAGAGUUAUCUGUAUUGUCCACAUUUUAGCUGAGAAGCAGAAACAGAGACAACCACCGUUCUGCAAAAAAAAAUCUCCGGUUGCCGGAAAAAAACAAACGGAAUAACUAAUCAGAGAGGCUUGCAUCCGUCGGCUCAGAAGAUACAUUUCACAACGAACAGAGUUCAAGCAGAGGAGAUGGCGAAGAGGACACACUUGCUUUACAGGCAUGGACUCUUCAUCUGUUGCGUUUAGUUCUAAUGGUUACACUGCCUUGAAUAGUUUAGCUCGAAGCUUGAACCGGUUGCAUCCGGGUAAAUUCAUGUUAAGUCACAGAUUAACUAUUGUUAUUAAGCAAAUGUUUAUGAAUAGGUUAUAGAUUCAGGAAUCUUAAGUUAUAAGUACUACAUUUAAAAAAAAUUACAUGUCUCUCUGUUUUUAGAUUUGAUCACUUUAGUUCUUGGGAAUGAUUUCAGAAUCUAAUUUUUACAAUGAUAUUAUAAUAGUUUUGUUUCUCUUAUUAUUCUUAUGACCAGGAAGUUGAGGUUAGGAAUCAACAAUGGUGGUCCGGUUUUGGUUUGUUAAGAGAGAAAGUAAUACUUUUUGUAAGUACUAUGUGAGACCGCAUAUAGGAAGAUAAAAAUAAGAUCGGGGCCAUGGCCCAUGAUUGAGUUAUGUCUUGGAGUAAUGUUUGUGUAGAGUUAGAAGAGAGCAUCUUCAUCAAGUGUGGUUUGUUUUAUUAAACAUUUGGUGGUUGAGACUGCAUUCUUCAAGUCUUAUCUUAUUGCCCUUUUUCUUAAUAACAUAUGCUUCUAUAGUAACUGUUUCUAUUUGUUGUCCCCGUAAAUAUUUGUGUUGUCAUCAUCAUUGGUUUGUUGACUUUAAUAGGGGUUUAUAGCAACAACUAGGUUUUACCUUCAGUUCUCCUAUUAAUCGAAUCAAUAUAUGUUUAUUUAGGAUCAAGCCGAAAUUUUUUAUUUUUAACUUUCUAACUAUCACUUAACGGUUAGUUCUUUACCUAAACCCAUGAUUCUUAACCAAUGUAUGGAACUACUAUAACAUUUAUGUAUGCAUCUUCAGUCACAGUCGGACAGCAAACAUGAAGCUGCCAACGCGUAUGAAGCUUCUAAAUGCUACAAGAAACUGAACCCAAAUGAUAUGGGGUUAUGUAGUGUGUUCAGAACGAGAACAAAUUGAGGUAUAUGUAAGUUGCGUCUAAGAUCAUGUUUCACAGUGGUUUGACAAGACAUGAACCCAGAUCUCUACUCUCAGUCUUAUUGAGCAGUAUCCCUCAACAUCAUGAAGUGAACCAGGAACUCACAGUCUCAAGGAGCCAACAUAACCAAACUGAUAAGGAUGAAAGAAGCCAAUCAUCAUCAAGGUUUAACAAUUACUCAGUCGAGACACUUAAAAUCUCUUUCGUUUGAUUAUACAAGGGCCGCCAGAGGCUAAAUGGAUUACUAACACAGUUAUGAAGCAACACAAAAGUAGAUUCUGAAGCCGGUGCAAGCGGGAGAUAUUUUGCUGGCUGGAAAAAGCUUCAUAUUUCAAUGCACGAAUAGGGAAUGUUAAUAGAUCGCCCCCGUCAAAGUAUAAUUGAGCUGGCGUUGUUGAUGGAAGAGAUGAGGAGGAGAAGUAGGCAUCAUAAUAUUAGAGAUGAUAUUAUGUAAGGUACCAAAUGUAUCAAGUUUUAGAUUCUAUGAUAAAAAGAUCUAUCAUCUUGGUAUUAAAAAGUUUUAUGACAUGUACGAAUGUAUAACCCUCAUGUUAAUUUUAUUUUCGGGAGAAUAUGUAC